rnacentral:rRNA from 1 species
ACGCUCGACACCUACGGGAGGCAGCAGUGGGGAAUAUUGCACAAUGGGGGAAACCCUGAUGCAGCGACGCCGCGUGAAGGAAGAAGUAUUUCGGUAUGUAAACUUCUAUCAGCAGGGAAGAAGAUGACGGUACCUGACUAAGAAGCCCCGGCUAACUACGUGCUAGCAGCCGCGGUAAUCUGAGCGGGCUGGCAAGGC